GCUGGUGGCAGUGGCUUUAGAUGCAAGCUGGGCCCUUCCCGUGGAUCACCCCAGCUGCAGAGGGCGUCGCGGCCACUCCCGGGGAGCCCAGCGUCACAGGUCCAGUACGGGGUGGUGUUAGGUAUCUGCCCCCUUGCCUCUCGGCGUGUGCAGGUGUCUCCUGCCCAGCUGUGGUUCGGUGUGGUGCCUGGACUGGCCUCGGCCGGCCCCUAGCAACUGACUUAGAACUGGUGCAGACCAGGGGAAUCCGACUGUUUAAUUAAAACAAAGCAUCGCGAAGGCCCGCGGUGAGUGUAGACACGAUGUGAUUUCUGCCCAGUGAUCUGAAUGUCAAAGUGAAGAAAUUCAAUGAAGCGCGGGGAGUAACUAUGACUCUCUUAAGGUAGCCAAAUGCCUCUUCAUCUAAUGAGUGACGCGCAUGAAUGGAUGAGCGAGAUUCCCACUG
rnacentral:ncRNA from 1 species